rnacentral:rRNA from 1 species
GGACCUACGGGAGGCAGCAGUAGGGAAUCUUCCACAAUGGACGAAAGUCUGAUGGAGCAACGCCGCGUGAGUGGAGAAGGGUUUCGGCUCGUAAAGCUCUGUUGGUAGUGAAGAAAGAUAGAGGUAGUAACUGGCCUUUAUUUGACGGUAAUUACUUAGAAAGUCACGGCUAACUACGUGCCAGCAGCCGCGGUAAUACGUAGGUGGCAAGCGUUGUCCGGAUUUAUUGGGCGGAAAGCGAGUGCAGGCGG